GUGGGGAAUCUUGCGCAAUGGGCGAAAGCCUGACGCAGCCAUGCCGCGUGAAUGAUGAAGGUCUUAGGAUUGAAAAAUUCUUUCACCGGGGACGAUAAUGACGGUACCCGGAGAAGAAGCUCCGGCUAACUUCGUGCCAGCAGCCGCGGUAAUACGAAGGGGGCUAGCGUUGCUCGGAAUUACUGGGCGUAAAGGGCGCGUAGGCGGACAGCUUAGUCAGAGGUGAAAGCCCAGGGCUCAACCUUGGAAUUGCCUUUGAUACUGGCUGUCUUGAGUUUGGGAGAGGUGAGUGGAACUCCGAGUGUAGAGGUGAAAUUCGUAGAUAUUCGGAAGAACACCAGUGGCGAAGGCGACUCACUGGCCCAAUACUGACGCUGAGGCGCGAAAGCGUGGGGAGCAAACAGGAUUAGAAACCCCAGUAGUCC
rnacentral:rRNA from 1 species